rnacentral:rRNA from 1 species
UACAGAGGUGGCAAGCGUUGUUCGGAUUUACUGGGCGUAAAGGGCGCGUAGGCGGCCACGACAAGUCAGUUGUGAAAUCUCUGGGCUUAACUCAGAACGGUCAACUGAUACUGUCGGGCUAGAGUGCAGAAGGGGCAACUGGAAUUCUCGGUGUAGCGGUGAAAUGCGUAGAUAUCGAGAGGAACACCUGCGGCGAAGGCGGGUUGCUGGGCUGACACUGACGCUGAGGCGCGAAAGCUAGGGGAGCGAACGGG